UACGGGGGGGGCAAGCGUUGUUCGGAAUUACUGGGCGUAAAGGGCUCGUAGGCGGCCAACUAAGUCAGACGUGAAAUCCCUCGGCUUAACCGGGGAACUGCUUCUGAUACUGGAUGGCUUGAGUGUGGGAGAGGGAUGCGGAAUUCCAGGUGUAGCGGUGAAAUGCGUAGAUAUCUGGAGGAACACCGGUGGCGAAGGCGGCAUCCUGGACCACGACUGACGCUGAGGAGCGAAAGCCAGGGGAGCAAACGGG
rnacentral:rRNA from 1 species